AUUGAACGCUGGCGGCAGGCCUAACACAUGCAAGUCGAACGAGUGGCGGACGGGUGAGUAAUGUCUGGGAAACUGCCUGAUGGUGGGGGAUAACUACUGGAACAGGUAGCUAAUACCGCAUACCCUCGGAUGUGCCCAGAUGGGAGUAGCUAGUAGGUGGGGUAAAGGCUCACCUGGGCGACGAUCCCUAGCUGGUCUGAGAGGAUGAACAGCCACACUGGAACGGAGACACGGUCCAGAUUCCGACGGGAGGAAGAAGUGGGGAAUAUUGCACAAUGGGCGCAAGCCUGAUGCAGCCAUGCCGCGUGUAUGAAGAAGGCCGUCGGGUUGUAAAGUACUUUCAGCGGGGAGGCGUGACCCGCAGAAGAAGCACCGGCUAACUCCGUGCCAGCAGCCGCGGUAAUUC
rnacentral:rRNA from 1 species